rnacentral:tRNA from 1 species
GGGGGCAUAGCUUAGUGGUAAAGCGUCUGGUUUUGUGGCCCAGAAAACAGGGGUUCGAUUCCCCUUGCCUCCA